UACUAAACCAAGUCGACCAAACCAAUUUACCAUCUCAAAGUAUGAAAUAUUCCGUUCGCUAUCGUUGUGGAUCGUAAGCGCUAAUCAAUUAUUCCAAAAACAUGUGCUGAUAGAAAGGAUGCACCUAUUGCACUUAAAAGCUCAACUAUAGUGCUCGCAGACUUUGACCUAACUCAACUUCUCCGGACAUUGAGUCUAUUGUUGAGCCUCUUGCCGUUAGGUCUCUUGUGGACUGUAGUCCCAAUAAACUUAUUAGUCUCACCCAACUUAACUUAUCAGUGUCUUUGACCUAUUGUCACGGAACCCAUCGCACUUAAGGGCUUAAUUACAGUGCUCACAGGCUUCGACCUAACUCAACCCACCUAGACAUUAGGUUUAUUGUUGGGUCUCUUGCUAUUAGAUCUCUUGUGGACUACAGUCCUACUAAACUUAUUAGGCUCACCCAAAUUAACUCAUUAGUCUCUUAAACCUAUUGUCACGGGACAGAAGUAGGACCUAUUUAAGUCCAAUAAUAAAUAGCCAACAAUCCCUCCCUCCUUUAAUUCCAAAAGUUCGAGCCGCUAGAGUUACGCAACCAAUUCACUUAAAGUAAAUAGGCAUAGCGUCUACGGAUCUCGAUUGUGACUUUGCCCAAAAUGCUCUCCCUUCAUUUCAAACGUGACUCGGCCUAACCUGACCUCCCUCGCAGGGCAAGAUGUCGGCCCAUUUAAGCCAAUAAUCAUAAGUAAUAGCUAGUUAUAC
rnacentral:lncRNA from 1 species